rfam:Nomascus leucogenys chromosome 3, whole genome shotgun sequence.
AUGCUCGUUUUGGCAGCACACGUACUAAAAUUAGAACGAUACAGAGAUUAGCAUGGCCCUGCACAAGGAUGACACCCAAAUCUGUGAAGCGCUCCAUAGUAAAAUUUUUUU